rnacentral:lncRNA from 1 species
UUUGUUCGGCUAUUUAAGCCAAAAAAUUUCCAAACAAUUCAUUUCUUUCCUUCCUCCAGAAAAAACAACAAAAACCCUCUGAAGCCCUCUCUCUCCCUCCAGGCACUGGCCCAAAAUCCGGCCAUCGACCGUCGACCGGCGGCUACCGGAAAGCUGAAAAGCUUUCCUUUUUUCUGCUGAAUCUCCCUCCAACUACUCUGAGUAUCCCGGCAUCGUCAAAUAGGUAAAAAAAACUCUCCUUUUUAUUACUCGUUUAUAUACGUACGAAAAAAAAUCAAAAAGAUAAAAGAAAAUAGAUCUAUAUUCAAAAAGAAACGAAGAAAUCACGUUGAGUCUACUUCUUUUUUUGCCUUAUUAUUUCUAAAAAUGUUCGUAAAAAAGGGGUGGAAAUUACAGAAAGGUUCGAUUUUUAUUACCGAUUCCCCUUUUUCUUUCUGUUGUUGUCUCUUUUAUUGUUUUGCAGGCACUCGAUGGUGCAUGUGGGCAAGUGGCGGUGGUGGGUCGGUGGCAGAGGUGAUGCAACAAGGGCGGUGGCAGUAGUCAAAAGAUCUAGGUGCGGCACACCUAGGGUUUUUUUUGCUGAUUGGUCUUUGGGUUAGUUUAGGUCGUUGGGCCAGGGUGUUUGGGCUUGUAAUUGGGUCUUUUGGGUUUUGGGUAGGUUUUAGGUGGGUUUUGUUUGUAAUGGGCCCAGGCAUAAAAUUGAGCUUGUACAAUAAAGUAAUGAUUUUAAUGUUAUAACAUGCUUUAAAUUCUUGUACUUUUGUAUAUUUGGAAUAUAGUCUUCAUAUUUUUAUUUUUAAGAAUUUAGCCCAUUCACUAUUCAAUUUUAAAAAUUCAGGC